rnacentral:rRNA from 1 species
AUUGAACGCUAGCGGGAUGCCUUACACAUGCAAGUCGAACGGAGUGGCGAACGGGUGAGUAAUGUAUCGGAACGUGCCCAGUAGCGGGGGAUACCUACGCGAAAGCGUAGCUAAUACCGCAUACUAUUGAAACGGACGAUAUCGGGGGAGCUAGUGGGUGGGGUAACGGUUCACCAAGGCGACGAUCCGUAGCUGGUUUGAGAGGACGACCAGCCACACGGGGACUAGGACCAGGCCCAGACUCCUACGGGAGGCAGCAGUGGGGAAUUUUGGACAAUGGGUGAAACCCGGAUCCAGCCAUCCCGCGUGUGCGAGGAAGGCCUUCGGGUGGUAAAGCACUUUUGGCAGGAAAGCGGUACCUGCAGAAUAAGCCCCGGCUAACUACGUGCCAGCAGCCGCGGUAAUUC